UUUUAACUUUCAUCUGUGCUAAGUAACUUUAGCUCGUAAGCUAACCUGUUCAGAUACAACAUACCAUAUGUAUUUUCACUGUCUCAAACUCAAUCACGUUGCUGUCACAGCACCAUUAGGUCUCGGUUGUUACCUUACGUUUAUGGAUUAUAGUUUAAUGCGCUUAUCUGGAACUGGCCCCGACUCAGUACAUGCUAUCAUGACAGACAGCCAUCUCAACACUAGUGUCUAAUCAGAACUGAAUCCGGGACACGUCUUUUUCCCCCUGGAAAGUCUCAAAAUCGCAUCAGGCUUGAUGUGUAUAGUCAGGCGUGCCAAAAUUCGCCUCCGAAUAUUUCGUAAUUUCGUGUUCUUUAUUUGCGUCGGUCCUGGUGUGUAAGGACCUUACCAGUUAGAAACAUCAGUGGUUAUUAAGAUGAGUUAUUGAGCUUGAAACACUGGAUCUGUUACCAACAUCAAAAACCUUUGGUUGUUGCGCGGUUGGUAAUUCAACCACAAACUGAUGGUCCACAAAAUUUUAACAGAUCCCGUAUUUUUUGACUUCUUACAGCCAGUUCAAAGAGUGUUUCUGAAACAGGUGAAUAGAGAGUGAUAAUAAUCUGAUCCAGAUUUAACAAAAGCAUGAUCAGCUUGGACACAACGGGUGUAAGUUUUGUACUGUUUCUUAAAUACUCAGAGCCUGGCCCAGUUGGAUACAGACACAGGGCAUGCUUUAGAGGAGGAAGUGUGUGUGUGUGUGUGUGUGUGUGUGUGUGUGUGUGUGUGUGUGUGUGUGUGUGUGUGUGUGUGUGUGUAGGUGGACAGGCCCAGCUGCCUGUGUUAGCCCUCUACAGAGCACUGACCUGAGUGUCAUGGAGCACCAGUAUGAGGCAUAUUAUCCACCUCAUCAAACAGACCCCCUGAAUCACUCUUGACUCUCUCAAUACUCUUUUUAUCUAAUGUACUGUGCGCAUUUCAAAAGGGGGUUAGCUGGAUGGGUGGGUGGGUGUAGGGGGUUAGAGUAACAGGAGAGAGAGAGAGAGAGAGGGGUAAAAGAGAAGGAGAGAAACAGCUUUUUAUGAGAGACUGGAUGGAGAACAGGGCAGAAAGUCUCUCGCUUUGUCCGAGAAUGGAAAUCAUAUUUGGUGGGGGGCCAUCGCUUUUGUUGUGUAUUAAAAGAGUAGUUGAAAAGACAGAGCAUUUCUUUGUGUGUGUAUGAAGUGUGUCAGCAUGUCCCUCACAGUUUCAGUCUUCAGAAUAUGUUAACAUGUGUCUAAGUCUAGAUUUAGAAAUUUGUUUGAAUGCCACAAGCUGCAAGCAGUUUUUUACCACUGGAUCACAAAAAUAUAAGUACUUUGCAGCUGUAUUAAUUAUAGGAAAAGAGGUGGUAGCUGCAUUGAAAGGACUGCUUUCUGAACACUGUGACACAUAAUUGGAUUUUAAUGUGUUUCUAAAUUUCUUGGACAACUUCCUCUCACUCCAGCGCUGGAAUUAGUCUGUUCGGUGUCAGUCUGAAAUUUCAAAGCCACGAUACAACGGCCGAGAAGCCUUUACAUAUCUUAUACUUGGAAUAAGAUCAUAAAGAAAUAUUUGUAAGAGAUGGUGCAGAGAGAGAAAGGUGAACUGAGAUGAGAUAUGAAGAUAAAGUGAAGUGGCCUUACCCUGUCAACCAACAACUAGAGAUACAAACAGAUUGUCUGAAGAUGAUUUUGUAGAUUCAAAAAUGGUCUACUUAUGCAGUUGAAAAAAGAAAUGGCAAGUUAUUCGUGACACAGUCAAGAUAAAUAGCACUUAUAUGAGGGAUAACACCGACACAAAGCCACCGACCGCUCGUCUGAUCGUACACGCGUUAUCAAGCAGACCGCAAACAACCUGCAGUGUUUGACGACACUUGUAUUUGACCAAUCUCUGACAAGGUGUGGGAGCUCUGUGAGAGAAGACAAACAGCAUCCAGCUGGGUUCACAGCUUUCAAGGGCUCCUUUAUCAAGCUCAAAUGUUUGACUGCCACUGAUGAUGCUUAUGUAACUUGGCCGGCUACUGCAAGGGCUCCAGCAGAAAUGCUAACAAGGAUAUUAUCCACCAUCCCUGCCACUGAUCGAUGACCUUUUCACACAAGCACACUAAUUACCCUAAUUUAAUCUUUCCUCUACAGUCUGUCAGUGUACAGGUGUCCAUCCAUUUCAAAUCUACUCAUAAAGGAUUUCUUUUUUUCUGUUUUUGAGGUAGGUCUUGGUCUUUUGCCACAUAAGUAGGUAAUCAACAUAAAACAAGGACAAGUUUUUCUUCCAAGUGCAUCAGAAAAUAUUGUCUCUCAAAAUCUGAGAACAUCAUGAAAAACUUUUUUUAAAUUUCUUUUUUAAAUAGUUUGAUUCAAAACUGUUAGCUUCAGUCCGUUCAAAAUUCAUCACAUAUAAGAUGAAACAUGCUUAAGUUUUGUUGGUUAGUUUGAUGAUUACAGCUAAUAGCUCAUGUCAUCAGAAAUCCAGUAUCUUAAACUAUUACAAUCUUAACAGCCAAUCUAAACUAACACAUCAAUAAAUAUUUGAACAAAUGAAUGAAAAUAGAAUUGUACAAACAGAUAUGCCUGACUUCCAAAAACUAUGUUCAAACUUCAUGCUGGAGUUCAAACACCUUGGAUUUUGAGCCUCUCUGAUCCUCCUCCAGACUUUGGGACCUUUAUUUUCAACUGAGGCUAUGUUCCCACUGCAGGUCAAUUCAGAUUUUUUCAUGUGUGUGAACAGUGCAAUUCAGCUUUUUUCAAAUGUGACCCAGGCCUUUUCUGUACGUCGAUAUAAAUCAGAUAUGUAUCCGAUGUGACUGCAGUGUGGACGCUCAGGUCGCGUUCAUCCGACCUAUACGUCAUGAAUAUGUGACAAACAUCACCAUUGUUCGACAACACAAACAGGCACGGAAAGCAAUUUGUGCUUUGUGCAAAUGCGAGUCACUUCACGGACUCAUUCCGUUCACAUUAGAUGUCGCAUUUGUUGUUGUAAUGUAACAAUCGCACAAAAAGAUCGGAUUUAACAAAAAAACUGAAUUGUGCAUCAUAACCUGCAGUGUGAACGUAGCCUGAGAUACUGAUUUGACUUUCAACUUAAAACGGGACUUAGGACCUCUGAGCAGUUGUCCAGAUCUUGUUAUUCUUAGCCCAGGUGACACUCUCUGACAUUAUCUCUGGUUCAGUAAGGUCUUGAAAGUAGGACUACUACACUUGUAGUCCAGUUUCUUGGCUCAUCUGUGCGUAGAGGAUGCACAGUAGAUGCUCUGACUCCAGCCUCAAUCUAGUCUUUGUGAAGCACCCCUAAGUUCUUGAAUCUGGGUUGUCUGAGUCCUCUUGAGGCUGCACUCAUCCCUAUUGCUUGGUCUUCUUUUCCUCCCUCACCGUUCCCUUCAGUCAUCUUUCAUGAAUCUGCAUCUAUACAGACUCUGUGAACAGCCAGACUUUUCAGUAGUGACCCACUGUGGCUGAUCCUUCUUACAGAAGGGGGUCACUGAUGGUCCUAAUAAACAUCUAGUCAGCAGUGUGAACCAUGACUGUGGUUGACUGUACCUUUAAGGUAGACAGAUCCAUGGUUGGUUCUACUUUAACAGUUAUUUACUCAAACUUGACAUAAAAACUAUUCCAAUAUUUAGGAGAUUAUUUCUUUUAACCCUUGAGUUGUAGACCGUAAUAAUCCAAACCAAAACAGAGGAACUUUUGAAAUAUUUUAGUCCAUAUAUGUGUAGUAAAUUUGGAAUAUUUGACAUUUUCUGUUCCUGAAAUAAAAUAACCCAUGAAAACACUAAACUUGUUCCAUGAUAUUCAGAUUUUUUGAGCUGCAGCUACUUGUUGAUCUGACUGAACCGACUGUCAUCGAUGAUAAUGGUGGACUAAAUUCUUCCUCCAGUUUCAUUCCUUCUGUGGAGUUAACAUGUAUAUCGGUAGUUUUAACUUGGCGUCAGUAGAUAUCAGUUCAGUUAAGCUGAAUGGUUGUAGCAACACUGACUGAAGCUCCCAUGUUGGGAAACAGAUGUGCUGUCUGAGGCUAACAUCUGUGAAGGGUUAGUUUUCCCUCCGCUGGAGGUGGAUCACUGAUGGGCCUGACGAGCAUUAACUUCUCAUUACCAGCUCCGUCUCUUUUGUUGUAUCUCAAUAAAAGAAAAAAGCAAAGCAAAGAACCAACCAGCCUUUAUUUUAUAUAAGUGUGACCAGCUCAGAGAGCCCAGUGCAAACACACAGCAGAACUUUGAACUCCGUGGUUUGGAGGUCAGAACCUGGUCAGACAUUGGGGGGAGGAAAAGAGGCCCUCUGGGUUCAAGUGGAUCCUCUAAAAGUGACCGAGGAGAAUGGGCCUCAGAAACACACACUCACACUUAGACACAUACUUAAACUCCUUUAAGCCACAGACAGAGGUGAAGUGUCAGUGCAGAUGUUUUGUGUUGUGUCCAGCCACCCAUGUGGAGGGCAGGGGGAGCUGGUGACUGGAUGGUCAGCCACUUUUGAAGUGAUUAACAGGCGGACUUUUAUCAGCCCAUUUUGACUCCCAUCUUUACAAAUACAGCUGUUUAGUCACGGUGGCCAAUCACACAUCGAUUCUACCAUGAACAUGUUAACACUGUGAAUUGAAACGUGUCGUACGUGAACUUUCACUGAGGAGACUGAUUAGAACUUUUUGCAGUGGAGGUGUUACUGCUGAAUACAUGUCGUACCCUGCAAAUGUGGACGGACACGUAAAACUCAAGCUGAGUGUACGGUGCAUUUACACAGCUAUCGGCUCAAGGUCCUUUCACCCGGGGACCAUUUUUGUUGUGCGAUUAUUUCGGACGUCGAUAUAUUUUUUUAACUCGUAUCCUGUCAAUUUUUCUAAAGUUAAGCAUACUGUGUGUCCACUUCUGACCAAUCAGAUUGCAUGUUGUUGCAAUGUCAGAUUCACCGGUAUAUCCAACAUGGCUGACCAGCUGAUUGUUUACGUGUCAGAGAACAGAGUGCUUUUUGAUAAAAGACACAAACAUUGCAAAGAUAACAACCUGAAAGACAACUUGUGAAGAGUCAUAGUAUCAGAUUUCUCAUAUAACGAUGGUUUGUUUACUUUAACAGUUUGCUAAACGUCUUUGUUUUAACUUUCAUCUGUGCUAAGUAACUUUAGCUCGUAAGCUAACCUGUUCAGAUACAACAUACCAUAUGUAUUUUCACUGUCUCAAACUCAAUCGUGUUGCUGUCACAGCACCAUUAGGUCUCAGUUGUUACCUUACGUUUAUGGAUUAUAGUUUAAUGUGCUUAUCUGGUACUGGCCCCGACUUAGUACAUGCUAUCAUGACAGACAGCCAUCUCAACACUAGUGUCUAAUCAGAACUGAAAAACAGUCAGUCUGCUGUUGUGUCAGUCUUCUCGCUUUCACCCAGGACGCACCUUUUUCCUCCCGGAAAGUCGCAAAAUCGCAUCGGGCUUGAUGUGUAUAGUCAGG